rnacentral:rRNA from 1 species
UACGAAGGGGGCUAGCGUUGUUCGGAAUUACUGGGCGUAAAGCGCGCGCAGGCGGUCUUCCAAGUCAGUGGUGAAAGCCCGGAGCUCAACUCCGGAACUGCCAUUGAAACUGUUGGACUUGAGUACGAGAGAGGUGAGUGGAAUUCCCAGUGUAGAGGUGAAAUUCGUAGAUAUUGGGAAGAACACCGGUGGCGAAGGCGGCUCACUGGCUCGUAACUGACGCUCAGGCGCGACAGCGUGGGGAUCGAAACAAG